UUUCGGAACCUCUACCCAAGUUGUCAUCGCUAAUCGCGACGACGAAGUUCUGAAACAAAAAUAAUUUACAAUAAAU